AUACGGAGGGGGCUAGCGUUGUUCGGAAUUACUGGGCGUAAAGCGUACGUAGGCGGACUGAUCAGUUGGGGGUGAAAUCCCAGGGCUUAACCCUGGAACUGCCUUCAAUACUGUCAGUCUUGAGUUUGGGAGAGGUGAGUGGAAUUCCUAGUGUAGAGGUGAAAUUCAUAGAUAUUAGGAGGAACCCCAGUGGCGAAGGCGGCUCACUGGCCCAUUACUGACGCUGAGGUACGAAAGCGUGGGGAGCAAACAGGAUUAGAUACCCUAGUAGUCC
rnacentral:rRNA from 1 species